ensembl:lncRNA
AGAGGGGUUAAGGAGGAGCAGCGCAGUGCCAUAGCGGCGGCCACGGCGGGGCAGUGCGGCUCCGUGCACGGCAGUGCGGCAACGGCGGGGGGGGAGGGAGGACGGGAGAAAGGGGGAAACAUUAAGCAAACAAAUGAAAACAACACCAAAAAAGGGGGUAGGGAGAGAAAAAGGAAGCAAAACCAAAAAGAAAGCCAGCCUGCAAAUGUAAAUGCACCAGCUACGUGCCAAGUGAAGGUGCUGAUGCUGUGAUAAGCCUUCAGGUCUGCAAAGUUUGCUGGGAAGAAAAAAGGGAUUCACGUCCAUAGGGGAUCAGAGCGCUGCUCUGACGUUGCUAUUUUUCUUUCAGCUUGGAAGGUCCUUCCCCUGCUCUCCCCCACUGGAUUCAAACCAGGCAGUGAAGCCAGGUCUGUUCCUGGAGCCGUUGGAGGCUCACCGAUGUCUGUCUUCGGACCUCCCUGCUGAUAAAGAUUUAUGUGAUAGGAACAAUUUGGUUGGGGUCAGGAUUUCUCCUCCAUAGAACCCAGGGCUACGUGGGGAGCUGCUGGGAUCCCAGCACAGCCUCUGUCCGGUUUCAGUUACAGCUUGAGCAGUGCAGCACAGGAGCGCUCUGAUUGCGAUCAUGCAGUCAUCGAAGGGGUCGUCCCCCAAAAGGAUGCUUUGAUUUUCGAUGUGACACCCAGGGCUGAGCAGCUCCGCUAGCCGAGUUUACGUGGGAUGUGAGUUUUCCCAUCGCUUUACUUCGAGACGUGCGGCGUGGAGCCUUGGGGCAAUGCCGGCACCUCCAGCUGCCCCUGCCCCCUGUGUUCUGCCCCUGCUGAGGGGGUCAGCCCCGAAGGUGAGGUGAUGGAGGGCUGUGGAUGGGCACGGCUCGGCGCUGGACAGAGGACCCACAGCUGCACUGAUGGCCAUCCCUGCCCCGGCCCCAACAGUGCCGCACGUGCAAUGCUGUGUGCUUUCCCGGGGGGCUGAAGGUGCUGAAUUAGGCGCUAACGUAUUUUCCUGUUGGAUCACUGUUUGACUCAAGAAAAUAAGAAAGGGCUAUUACUGCCUUCUGACCCGUUGCUUUGACAUUUGAGUUUCAGUUUGCUUAGCGUCAUAACGUUGAGAAAUUCAAACAGCUCUCCAGCUCGCAGAAUUAUGAACGCCUCCAUUUGGCACUGGAAGAAACCAGCCCUGCAUUCUGGAUUUCCUUACGUUCGCAUUUUCCCCAGCCCAGCAGGGUCGUUUUCCCUUUGAGAACAAUACAGGGCUUGGCUCCCCACGCUGUGCCGUGGCUGCAGCAGCUCAGUGCAGGGCAGGGCAGGUUGGUUCAUCCCCAGGAAGGCUCUGCCAGACACGGGGGCUGUACAGCUGUCCCAGCCAUAUGCCCUGCCCUGCCCUGGGCUGCAGAGGGGCCCUCGCUUUGCACUGCUGCAUCUUUGCUGCUGCAGUCUGCACUGAGGAGCUGGAGUUGUUGAAGGGCUUUUCUACUGAUAAAUGGAUGGAAACCCGUAUUUUCAUCUCACGUCAUCAAACAUUCAUCAGAUACUCCUGGUCAGUACCGACAGAGCCAGAUUUGAACUGGUGACCCAGCAGUAAAAGGCCCCGUUAGCGAUUUCCCUGAACCAUCGAGCCAGGGUGUAACACAAAGGCAGUGCCGUGGCGAUUUGUGCCACAGGUGAAAGCAGGUUCUGAUUUCUGUUUGCUGAUGACCGUUACCAAAGCGUUUUGAAGGGGUUCGUGCUCCCGUGUGAUCCAGAAAUAGGAAGAGCAGCACUGCCUGCACCCAUCUCCCCACGUAGGGCAGUGCUGUAUGAACCCGACCCGUUCACAUACGUGGGUGGGGAGAGAGAGCCCCUCUGAGCCCCGGGACCCAAAAACGUCCUCAUGUGGCACUGUGGGACCGUCCUGCGCCCGGUCUGUGCUGUGAUAGUGCUCCCCAUAGGCAGGCAGGCUGCUUUGCCUCACAGUGCUGCUCUGUUCUUUCGCCG